GGGAGAGUGGUCGAGUGGUCGAAAGCAGAAGACUAUAAAUUUGUUGAAGAUUUUCUAUGCAGGUUUUAAUCCUUCCUCUUCUA
rfam:Capsicum annuum cultivar Zunla-1 chromosome 7, whole genome shotgun sequence